CUCAGAUUGAACGCUGGCGGCAGGCCUAACACAUGCAAGUCGAGCGGUAACAUUUCUAGCUUGCUAGAAGAUGACGAGCGGCGGACGGGUGAGUAAUGCUUGGGAACAUGCCUUGAGGUGGGGGACAACGAGUUGGAAACGACUGCUAAUACCGCAUAAUGUCUACGGACCAAAGGGGGCUUCGGCUCUCGCCUUUAGAUUGGCCCAAGUGGGAUUAGCUAGUUGGUGAGGUAAUGGCUCACCAAGGCAACGAUCCCUAGCUGGUUUGAGAGGAUGAUCAGCCACACUGGGACUGAGACACGGCCCAGACUCCUACGGGAGGCAGCAGUGGGGAAUAUUGCACAAUGGGCGCAAGCCUGAUGCAGCCAUGCCGCGUGUGUGAAGAAGGCCUUCGGUUGUAAACGUCGACUUUCAGUCAGAGGAAAGGUUAAGUAGUUAAGUACCUAGCUAGCUGUGACGUUACGUGACAGAAGAAGA
rnacentral:rRNA from 1 species